rnacentral:rRNA from 1 species
AGCGAACGCUGGCGGCAGGCCUAACACAUGCAAGUCGAACGAACCUUUCGGGGUUAGUGGCGGACGGGUGAGUAACACGUGGGAACGUGCCUUUAGGUUCGGAAUAACUCAGGGAAACUUGUGCUAAUACCGAAUGUGCCCUUCGGGGGAAAGAUUAAUCGCCUUUAGAGCGGCCCGCGUCUGAUUAGCUAGUUGGUUGAGGUAAUGGCUCACCAAGGCGACGAUCAGUAGCUGGUCUGAGAGGAUGAUCAGCCACAUUGGGACUGAGACACGGCCCAAACUCCUACGGGAGGCAGCAGUGGGGAAAUCUUGCGCAAUGGGCGAAAGCCUGACGCAGCCAUGCCGCGUGAAUGAUGAAGGUCUUAGGAUUGUAAAAUUCUUUCACCGGGGACGAUAAUGACGGUACCCGGAGAAGAAGCCCCGGCUAACUUCGUG